GAUGAAGAACGCAGCGAAAUGCGAUAAGUAAUGUGAAUUGCAGAAUUCAGUGAAUCAACGAAUCUUUGAACGCACAUUGCGCCCGCUAGUAUUCUGGCGGGCAUGCCUGUUCGAGCGUCAUUUCAACCAUCAAGCCCUGCUUGUGUUGGGGUCCUGCGGCUGCCCGCAGGCCCUGAAAACCAGUGGCGGGCUCGCUAGUCACACCGAGCGCAGUAGCACAUCUCGCUCAGGGCGUGCGGCGGGUUCUUGCCGUAAAACACCCCCUUUUUACCAAGGUUGACCUCGGAUCAGGUAGGAAUACCCGCUGAACUUAAGCAUAUCAAUAAGCGGAGGA
rnacentral:misc_RNA from 1 species